CAACAAAGUUCCUCAUCAAAGACUCUUGAGAAAACUUAGCAGUCAUGGGAUAAGGGGACAAGCUCAUGUGUGGAUUGGUAACUGGUUGAAGGACAGGAAACAGGGUUCUUCAAAUCCUUCCUGGUGGCUGCUCCAUGUAGAUGUCUUCCUCUAUUUCUCCAUGCAGAAAUGCCUUUUCACAUCUAAGUGAUCAACUUGCAUCUUUCUUGCUGCUAUACUGAGCAGUGUUCUUACAGAAGUAUGCUUCAUGACAGAUAUUGAACCACCAUACAUGAGAGACUGUGGCUUAUACAGUGGAUCUGUAGCAAAACUGGGGUUAAAAUGCAGCUCAGAAAGGCUCCG